rnacentral:tRNA from 1 species
GCACUGUUGGCCGAGCGGAUGAGGCAAACGACUCAUAAUCGUUAUAAGGUAGGUUCAACUCCUACACGGUGCA